GGUGGCUCAGUGGCAGAGCACUUGCCUUGCAUGCAUGAGGCCCUUGGUUCGAUUCCUCAGCACCA
rnacentral:tRNA from 1 species